CUGUUUCAAGAGUUUGAUUAGUUUUGCACCUGUGCAUCGAGAGCACACAUUUUCUCUUGUGCUUCUGUUUUCUGCAUUUGGCAGCAAAUGUCUCCAAUUAAUGUCAAAUGUCUUUCUCAAGUGGGAGCAGCUCAGAAAGCCAAGUCCUUCACUGGACCGCAUUCAAAUCUCAUUGGAGACGUUUGUAUGCUAGAAAGAGUCAUUUGUUUAAAUAAAUUCAAAGGACUCGUUGCUGACAUAAAAAUGAAAAUCUGUCCACAAACAGAGCAAACCACAUGCAUGUUAGCUAGUGGCAUAUUUAAAAUGGUGGAAUUCACAAUCAAAUUAUUCAAUACUUCACAAAUUAAAAAGAUUUAUGAUCAAUGAGCACAAGACAACAUUGCCAUCUUAGCAACAUAUUUUCUGUAAAUCCUACUUACAAGAAGAAUGAAAGGUCAGAAUGGGCUCUGAACAGAGUUUUGGAAAUGGAGUGAUGAAUGGAGUCCCCUCGUCCCACAACAGGAUAACUAAACAGACAGUGGCAUCUACCUUCUGCAGUAUGUGGAGAGCUUCAUCAAGGACCCACCACAAACUUUCCUUUCCAACCUGAAUAGAGGACAGUGAAGAAGAAGAGGAGGCAAAUCAAACAACUCAUUCUCAGGCUUCACAGACAGCAAAAUGUUUUAAAAUAGUUUUUUUUUUUACGUCUUAUGGAUCUUUCAAUGUGACUACAACCUCAACCCCUUCCUACGGGAUUUUUCAUGGAAGGAAAUUAAAUUUGCAUGUGUGAAAAAUGAAAUGUCAUUUGCUUUGGAAAUGGAUCAUUUGUUCUUGAAAUCCAAUCAAAAAUUUAGCUAUAAAUAAAAUCUAUCAAAAUAAAAUGGCCAGAUGCUGAA